GAGGGGGACUCAUUGCAUGGUCUAACCUACCACUCACAGCCAGCAUCGCGGAGAGCAAAGCGCAUUCAUGGCCCUGCGUUGCAUUGGGCGUCGAAUCGUUCGACGCUGAUAGCGCGAGCUGGCUCGCUCUGAUUGUGCCUUCGCGGAGCUCCCUGGGAGGCAUCUGUACCUCCACCCGCCCCCAUCCCGGAAUGCACACAAGGUGCUCGGCGUUAUGCUUCUUUCUUUUGCAGAGGCAAGGAACGAGUAAAAGGUUCCCUGCUGGAAGUGAACUAUGAAGAAAUAUUAAACUAUUAUCUACAUGGGGUGGCAAGCUUGAUCCGUACAAGAUGUCAACUAUGACAAAGGUGUCCUGAAUAUUUGCUUCAGAGGUGUCCUUCAAAAGAAACGUUUUCUAGUGACAUCCCUCAGAAAUUAGGCAGAGGAAGGGUAAGAGGAAAUCUGGCACAAGGACUUAAGAAGCAGGGAGAAUCUCUCGAGUACCUGAAUCUCUGAGUUCACGCAACCAUGCAAAGCCAUCACCUCGUAGGCACAGUGCCGAAGAACAUUG